UUGGAGGGCAAGUCUGGUGCCAGCAGCCGCGGUAAUUCCAGCUCCAAUAGCGUAUAUUAAAGUUGUUGCAGUUAAAAAGCUCGUAGUUGAAUUUCGGGGUCAGCAGGUUGGUCGUGCCACUGGUAUGCACUGGCUUCGCUGAUUCCUCCCUCUUGAAGAACUGUAAUGUCACUAAUUUGGUGUUGCAGGGAAACAGGACUGUUACUUUGAAAAAAUUAGAGUGUUUAAAGCAGGCUAACGCUUGAAUACAUUAGCAUGGAAUAAUGAAAUAGGACGUUUGAUCCUAUUUUGUUGGUUUCUAGGAUUGACGUAAUGAUUAAUAGGGAUAGUUGGGGGCAUUAGUAUUCAAUUGUCAGAGGUGAAAUUCUUGGAUUUAUUGAAGACUAACUACUGCGAAAGCAUUUGCCAAGGAUGUUUUCAUUAAUCAAGAACGAAAGUUAGGGGAUCGAAGACGAUCAGAUACCGUCGUAGUCUUAACCAUAAACUAUGCCGACUAGGGAUCGGAUGAUGUUAAUUUUUUAAUGACUCAUUCGGCGCCUUACGGGAAAC
rnacentral:rRNA from 1 species